AAUCAACGCUGGCGGCGUGCAUAACACAUGCAAGUCGGACGAGAAAGCGGGGGCAACCCUGCGAGUACAGUGGCAGACGGGUGAGUAACACGUGAACGACCUGCCCUUGAGUGGGGAAUAACCCCGCGAAAGCGGGGCUAAUACCGCAUAACAUCCACGAGCUUCAUGGUUUGUGGAUCAAAGGCGAAAGCUGCUCGAGGAGGGGUUCGCGGCUGAUUAGCUAGUUGGUGAGGUAACGGCCCACCAAGGCUACGAUCAGUAGCCGGCCUGAGAGGGCGUACGGCCACACUGGAACUGAGACACGGUCCAGACUCCUACGGGUGGCUG
rnacentral:rRNA from 1 species